rnacentral:rRNA from 1 species
CCUACGGGAGGCAGCAGCAGGGAAUCUUCCGCAAUGGGCGAAAGCCUGACGGAGCAAUGCCGCGUGAGUGAAGAAGGCCUUCGGGUCGUAAAACUCUGUUAUAAGAGAAGAACAAAUUGUAGAGUAACUGCUACAGUCUUGACGGUAUCUUAUCAGAAAGCCACGGCUAACUACGUGCCAGCAGCCGCGGUAAU